UACAGAGGUGGCAAGCGUUGUUCGGAAUUACUGGGCGUAAAGGGCGCGUAGGCGGUCAGGUCAGUCCCGUGUGAAAUCCCUCGGCUCAACUGAGGAACUGCACGGGAAACUGCCUGGCUUGAGUUCGGGAGAGGGAAGCGGAAUUCCGGGUGUAGCGGUGAAAUGCGUAGAUAUCGGGAGGAACACCGGUGGCGAAGGCGGGUCUCUGGGCCGAUACUGACGCUGAGGAGCGAAAGCGUGGGGAGCGAACAGG
rnacentral:rRNA from 1 species